AUUGAACGCUGGCGGCAUGCUUUACACAUGCAAGUCGAACGGUAACAGGCCGCAAGGUGCUGACGAGUGGCGAACGGGUGAGUAAUGCAUCGGAACGUGCCCAGUCGUGGGGGAUAACGCAGCGAAAGCUGUGCUAAUACCGCAUACGAUCUAUGGAUGAAAGCGGGGGACCGUAAGGCCUCGCGCGAGUGGAACGGCCGAUGUCAGAUUAGGUAGUUGGUGGGGUAAAGGCCUACCAAGCCGACGAUCUGUAGCUGGUCUGAGAGGACGACCAGCCACACUGGGACUGAGACACGGCCCAGACUCCUACGGGAGGCAGCAGUGGGGAAUUUUGGACAAUGGGCGCAAGCCUGAUCCAGCAAUGCCGCGUGCAGGAAGAAGGCCUUCGGGUUGUAAACUGCUUUUGUACGGAACGAAACGGCCUGGGUUAAUACCCUGGGCUAAUGACGGUACCGUAAGAAUAAGCACCGGCUAACUACGUGCCAGCAGCCGCGGUAAGAC
rnacentral:rRNA from 1 species